ensembl:ncRNA F11C1.12 ncRNA
AAGAAGAGGACGUGGGGGUCUUCUUCUUCUUGACGGGAGGUAAAGAAAAACGAUCGACGACGACAACGGAGAAAGCAAACGUGUGAGUAUGGCAAUUCAGUGGCGUAUCGUCAGGGGUCGUGCCAGGCACCGCUACAGUUCGUUUUUUGCCCAGUAACUUCAACUUGAAUAUCUCUUGUUCUCUCUGCGCA